CUCAUUUUUCUACUGCUCGUGGUAAGUGGCUUCGUGGUCUUUAUAGCUGUUACUCUUUUGUACUUUGUCUUUUUCUUUUAUUUUCUUUUGAGCGAUUGUGCGAACAUAGCAUAGCACGCACUAUGCCUUCUGUGUUGUAGCUGCCUGGCCAGGGCGACUGGCGGAUAAGGUCUUGUGCGUGGCCUCGAGGCUUAAAAGUAGCAGUGGGGCUUUGUGAAGGACAAAAUGGCGAUGGCGGGCCGUGUAGGUCCCCCUUCCUAUGAUGAGGACCUUUUCACAGACCUGUACUGAGCUCCGUGAGGAUAAAUAACUCUGAGG
rnacentral:lncRNA from 10 species